GCUUCCCCCAAACCCAGUACCCAUUGACGACCUAUUUCCUUCAUCCAGCAUUACCUCUUCUGGAUAGCGUGUGAGCAGACAAAGAUCAUCUGGCAAGAAGCACCCUAAAAGUGUAUCUACACAAGUACCAACCAGGCUGCAAAAUUACAUCUGAGGAAGGACUGGGGACAUACCAAGAGCCUAGGACAACUCUGCCAACUUCACCUCCCUUUCAGACUUCCUCUACCCCUUAUUCCAUGAUUGACCAGCAUUUGGGGCUCCCCAGUACCACAUACAUGGCAAGCUUCAUCCUCUAGCAUUUUUAAAGGGGUCCAUAUUAUGACUGGGUGCUUUGUGCCUGAUUCCAUGGUCACAAAGAAUCACGUUACAGCACCCUUGAACCAUACGAUAGAAUGUUUAUGACCAAGCCACAGCUCAAAAUAGUUGGGUACAUAGAUGUGUCUCUGGUUUCCAUUUACAUCCUUUUCCAGAAUCAAGGCUUCAAAACUGCUGGCAGGUGCCUCCUUUGCUUUCCACACUUCCUCUCUCAUUGCAUAUAGCACUGGGAGGGAGGCACAGUGGUUAAGAAUCCACCUGCCAAUGCAGGGAACACGAGUUCGAUCCCUGCUUUGGGAAGAUCCCACAUGCCGCAGAGCAUCUAAGCCCAUGCACCAUGACUACUGAGCCUGCGCUCUAGAGCCCGCGAGCCACAACUACUGAAGCUCGCGCGCCUAGACCCCGUGCUCUGUAACAAGAGAAGCCACCGCAGUGAGAAGCCCGCUCACCACAACGAAGAGUAGCCCCUGCUCACCGCAACUAGAGAAAGCCCGUGCGCAGCAAUGAAGACCCAACGCAGCCAAAAAUAAAUAAAUUAAUAUUUUAAAAAAUUAA